CAUUCUAGAAGCCCUAACCCUAGCCAUUGAACUUGCCGCACCCUAGGCCCUUUCCUACUAAAAUUCUGAUUGUUUUAGCCCAUUUUCUGGUGGAUUUGGGUUUCUAGAAACCCUAAUCUGAUUGCUAGGGUUUUUAAGUGCCUUUAUAUUCAUUAAACCCUUUGGCCGCAUAUAUCACCCUCUCCAUACUUCAGAAAUUCGUCUAAAUAAUUUUCCCCACCUUGCCGCAACCAUUCCUUUACUCCAGCCACCAUUCUACACCUCCAUACACCACCCAUACCCCUUGCCGCACACCAUACCAUCCUAACUCCCUUCCAAACCAAAAUCACAUCCAAAAAUCCCCUAAACCCUCUCUGCCGCAGCAAGGAGAAGAAGAAAGAGGAGCUUGACGUGCAGAAAUUCAAAGUGGAAUUGUUGGGCGUUUUAGGUGUAAUCUUUCUUAUGUCUUCGAUGUUUCAAUUCAAUAAACUUUGUGUUGUGAGUAUGAGGAACUAAACCCCCUUGGUAGGGGGGAAUUCGAAACCAUGUACAUUGCUUUGCAAACAUGAUUGAUUACAUUUAGUUGUUGUUUCAUAAGUUGUGAAUUCAAUUCGUUCAUCUAUUUGAUUGAUAACUUAUUUUGUGUAUGUUGAUUGAGAGUGCACGCUUAGUUUCCAUGCAUGAAUAUGAUGCUAGAUUAUGAGGGAGUUUCACCUAAUAGUUACAAUUUUAUAAUCACAAGUAGUGAAGGUCGCUUGAAAACGAUCGCGUUGAAUGAAUUCUUGGCAUAAGUUUCAUGCAAUUCAUAGUAACAAAGGCUUCGUCAAUGCUUAUGUUUUUCAUAGAACUUAAUGAUUCUUGCUUGUAUCUCUAUUAUGCAAUUCAUGUA
rnacentral:lncRNA from 1 species